rnacentral:rRNA from 1 species
CCUACGGGGGGCAGCAGUGGGGAAUAUUGGACAAUGGGGGCAACCCUGAUCCAGCCAUGCCGCGUGUGUGAAGAAGGCCCUCGGGUUGUAAAGCACUUUCAGUGAGGAAGAACGCCUGGUGGUUAAUACCCAUCAGGAAAGACAUCACUCACAGAAGAAGCACCGGCUAACUCCGUGCCAGCAGCCGCGGUAAUACGGAGGGUGCGAGCGUUAAUCGGAAUUACUGGGCGUAAAGCGCGCGUAGGUGGCUUGAUAAGCCGGUUGUGAAAGCCCCGGGCUCAACCGGGGAACGGCAUCCGGAACUGUCAAGCUAGAGUGCAGGAGAGGAAGGUAGAAUUCCCGGUGUAGCGGUGAAAUGCGUAGAGAUCGGGAGGAAUACCAGUGGCGAAGGCGGCCUUCUGGACUGACACUGACACUGAGGUGCGAAAGCGUGGGUAGCAAACAGGAUUAGAUACCCUUGUAGUC